rnacentral:lncRNA from 1 species
GGCUCAGCCAACCACAGCUCACCGGUCUUGAUCAGAACAGCAGUUAGAUAAUCAUGGUAAUAUCGUUUGGCUUUUGAAAGGCACACUGCUGUCAUCCUUCCAGAGCCCUUGGAUUAAACCUGCAGUGUAAUAAGCAUGUUUUUAAUUACACUGUGUUUAACAUUUAGAUUAUGAAAAUGUAAGUAAAUUCAAGAAGGUAAAUAAUAGUAAAUCCCCAUUUUAGGCCAGGAAUAGACCAAACCACACACCAAGAAAAAAUGACAAACCUACCACUCUGUCUGGUAACUGAUACCCUCUGAAUGGAAGCAGGAGGCCACUGGCUCAAGUGGUCCAUUGUGAGGAGACAGUGAGUUUGGACAAAAUGGAGAUACUUGUCUGAACUACAUUCCCAGAAUACCAUGGGGAACGAGUUAAUGCCCUCUGUCAUCUGACCAAUUGCUGCAAAACAAUUGGUUGAGAAGCACUUUAAAAAACAGGAAGCUGGAGUUUUGAGAGUUUUCUGGACACAGCAUGACAGGAAGAAGAGAAGGGAGCCGUGGCCUGACUGGCCGACUCACCGACUCACCGACUCACCGACUCACCGACUCACCGACUCACCGACUGACCAACUCUCCCCUAGACCUGCGAAUCAAAAAGCCUGUGGAAGGUCAUCACGGCCUGACGUGGACUCACGCAGUCCUCGUGGGGGAUUGGGGACACCUCACCUGUGAUACCGUCUUCCAGCCACUACAGACAGAGAGAGGCUGUCCAAGACCAUGUCUGUCUCGCUGUGUCAUCUGAGGCUGUGAUUUACGUCAGAACUCCGUCUCUAUCGCCCUGUUCUGGUCUCCUCAAGCCUUCCCAACUGCUUGUACUGUGUCCCCACUGACCACAAAAUCCACAUAUUCCAUACCAUUCAUCAUUCUCUUUUCUGAAGGUCUAGGCUCUAAUGGUAAGAAUUAUAAUAACCCUGUGUUGGUAUGUAUUUGUAAAGUGUUUUCUUUAAAAUAAUUCCAAACUGAUUUAUUAAUAGAACAGACCCAUUUCAUCCACCAGUGAAGUGUAGCAGUCUUUUGUAUUGUUUUUUACAAAUUAUUGAGUGACAGACCCAGAUUUCAAUAUAUUAAAA